ACAAGCGGUGGAGCAUGUGGUUUAAUUCGACGCAACGCGAAGAACCGUUUACCAGGACUUGACAUCCCUGACAACCUAUGAAGUAGGUCUUCUGCCUCGGGUAGACAGGGAGACAGGUGGUGCAUGGUUGUCGUCAGCUCGUGUCGUGAGAUGUUGGGUUAAGUCCCGCAACGAGCGCAACCCUUACGGUUAGUUGCCAGCGGUUAAAGCCGGGCACUCUAGCUGAACUGCCGUUGACAAAACGGAGGAAGGUGGGGAUGACGUCAAAUCAUCAUGCCCUUUAUGUCCUGGGCUACACACGUGCUACAAUGGCCUGUCCAGAGGGCAGCGAAGGGGCAACCUGGAGCGAAUCCCAAAAAGCAGGUCUCAGUUCGGAUUGCAGGCUGCAACUCGCCUGCAUGAAGUCGGAAUCGCUAGUAAUCGCAGGUCAGCAUACUGCGGUGAAUACGUUCCCGGGCCUU
rnacentral:rRNA from 1 species